GGAUGCGAGGGCGAUCUGACUGCGACAUCUGUCACCCCAUUGAUCACCAGGGUUGAUUCGGCUGAUCUGGCUGGCUAGGCGGGUGUUCCCUUCCUCCCUCACUGCUCCAUAUGCGUCCCUCCCGAAGCUGCACACUCGGUGGAAGAGGACGACCACCCUCGUUAGAGGAGGACCGUUUCCUCGGUCAAGGGUAUACGAGUAGCUGCGUUCCCCUGCUAGAACCUCCAAACAAGCUCUCAAGAAAUGAGACACCUAAAAUGUUAUGUUUCUUUAGUUCCUGAUAUGAAUUAUGUUUCUCAGGAUAUGA
rnacentral:snRNA from 1 species